rnacentral:lncRNA from 1 species
ACGAAUUUCGACGACUAUUGGAAGAAGGGUCAUCCGCCGGUCUCGAUACAAAAGGAUGGAAUCAUCUCUUACAAGUUUGAAUUGAGCGAGUACGAGCGCAAUAGAAGCAGGAUAGGAAGAUGGGAAGGUAAAAAUAAACUCUAGCGGAAGCAGCAUCGCAUUAAAUUAUGAUAUGAUGGCUCCGUCACUUUCCGAUUAAUGCAGCAAGAGGUUUAUGUCUACUUGGAGCUGCCUGUGCGUGCAUGGAUCGUCUAUUCCUGCCUGUUGUUUGUCAACCGUCGAUUCGCAUUGCUUAUUUCAUUAUGAUUCCUCGAUCUGCA